CCUACGGGAGGCAGCAGUGGGGAAUCUUGCGCAAUGGGCGAAAGUCUGACGCAGCGACGCCGCGUGAGGGAUGAAGGUCUUCGGAUCGUAAAACUCUGUUAGUAGGGAAGAACAGUUACUGUAGUAAUUAGUAGCGCAUUGACGGUAUCUGCAAAGGAAGCACCGGCUAACUCCGUGCCAGCAGCCGCGGUAAUACGGAGGGUGCGAGCGUUGAUCGGAUUUACUGGGCGUAAAGCGGUCGUAGGCGGUAUGUCAAGGCAGGGGUGAAAUCCCCGCGCUCAACCUGGGAACUGCCUUUGAAACUGGCGAACUUGAGUGUGUGAGAGGAUAGUGGAAUUCCAGGUGUAGGGGUGAAAUGCGUAGAUAUCUGGAGGAACAUCAGUGGCGAAGGCGACUAUCCGGCACAUAACUGACGCUGAGGAUCGAAAGCGUGGGUAGCAAACAGGAUUAGAUACCCUUGUAGUC
rnacentral:rRNA from 1 species